ACACUUUGUGUUUUGUUUUAGUGCCUGCUUUGCAGUCUCCUGCUUGCUGAUUGCAUAUGGAGCAAGUAACCCAGACUCGCUCUCCGUGCUCAUCUUCAUCGCCUUGGCUCUGAAUGGCUUUGGGGGGAUGUGUAUGACGUUCACUUCAUUAACGGUAAGUAUUGGUUUGUUAAGGAACGUUUUUCAGCCGAGUAAAUGGUACAUUUGAGGCAUA